GUACCCACAUAGCUUGUUUUUUUUUUUUCCCUUUGAAAGAUUUAUUUAAUUAUUUAUUUAUUUUUGGCUGCAUUGGGUCUUGGUUGCUGCACUUGGGCUUUCUCUAGUUAUAGCAAACUAUGGCUACUCUCUUGUUGCAGUGUGUGGGCUACUCAUUGUGGAGGCCUCUUUUGUGCUGGCGCACAGGCUUAGUUUCUCCUUGGCAUGUGAGAUCUUCAUGGACCAGGGAUCGAACCCACGUUCCCUGCAUUGGCAGGAGAUUUUUCAAUAUUCAGAGAAAAGAAUGAGGAGACCUGAGGGAGAACUAAACAUGUAUCUUCUGCUGUGCGUGGAAAUGAUGAUUUUCAUAAAGAAAAUAAAUGUACAUGCAAUAAAGCCCAGAGAUAUAAAUGCAGAAAUGAAUAACAGGCUCAAGGCCACAAAGAUGACAAAUCACCAGGUGAUUACGCUGUGGGCUCUCUGUAUGUACAGCAAGCUCUUUGAGAACAGAGAAGACCCCCCAGAUUGAAG
ensembl:lncRNA